GCAGGCUGCAACCCGCCCUGCAUGAAGUUGGAAUCACUAGUAAUCGCGGAUCAGAAUGCCGCGGUGAAUACGUUCCCGGGUCUUGUACACACCGCCCGUCACACCAUGGGAGUCGGAAAUGCCCGAAGUCUGUGACCUAACCGUAAGGAAGGAGCAGCCGAAGGCAGGUCGGAUGACUGGGGUGAAGUCGUAACAAGGUAAC
rnacentral:rRNA from 1 species